CUCCUUUGCCUAAUGAAUUCUAGAAAUGUUAUCAACUUUGAGGCUCUUGAGAUAUUGUGAAAACUACCACGUAUAGGUAGACAGCCUUAUCAAUUUUACCGUCUAUUUAUUGUCAUGUUCAAAUUAGAAGAUAUUGUGGAUACUACAACGCGCUGGUAGGUAGCCUUAUCAAUUUCACCGUCCAUUUAUUCUCUCCUUCAAAUCAGAAGAUAUUGUGAAGACUACAACGUAUCGGUAGAUAGCCUUAUCAAUUUUACCAUUUAUUUAUAGUCCCCUUUGUAAUGACCCAAAGUUGUUAUGUCUGGAUGCGCCAAUUGAAUAAUCGUGAAAAAGAGAAAUGGGGUCAGCAGAUAUUUUACAAGGAACGAUGGAGAUGAUAAUAAAACAACGGUGGAGAUUAGCCCAAUUAUUAAGGCAGCCAGCUCAGCACCAACUCAACCAAUUCUAUAAAUAGCCUUAACAGAAAUUGGGAUAGGCAGUUAUGAAUUUGAAUGGAAUUCUCCUUGUCUAAUCUUUUAGAACCUUCUUCUUUCUCUUCUACUCUAUCUUCUUCUUCAUUACUUCAUUCUAAGCAUUACUACAUGUAUCCAUGGUAGAAGUUCCAGAUUCAUAGUGAAGGAUAGCUUAGUGUUUUCUUAAUCAUUGAUUGUAAUCGUUGGUUGUUAUCAAUAAACGCCGUUCCAUUAUAAAUUCGAAUUCACAAUUCCAAUUGAGUUAGUUACAUUACAAGUGGUAUCAGAGAAACGAACCUGUCUUGACUAUGGGUAGUAAUUCGAAGAAGGUGUUUGUAGAAUUAUUGCCCUUCGUUGAAUUGGUUGAACAAAACAAUGCAAAUAGAAUGACUCCAAUGGAUGGAAUGUUGGGUAUAGUUGUGAAUGUUAAACAGUUACAGAGGUGGUGUGAGUAUUGCAUAUGCAACGUUGACUGCCAAUGUAACUCUUGUGUCUAUAGGUGUGUAGCCUCAAAUGCUUCUUUUGUCUUGAAGUUUGUUUGAGGGAAAUGGAUGAAGAGGACAACCAAGUUGAGGUGGUUUCAGAUGACCAUGAAAUGGCUGAACUACGGAGGACUUGAAAUAGCAGUAAAAUUGAUUCAAAAUAUAAUGCGAACCAGAUAUUCGACUAAUGUCCUCAAUGGUUCAAAUCUGAAGUUCUAAUUGAACUCUACUCCAUCCCCAAUACGACCACCACAGAGUCUGUGAUCGUGAACUCACAUCUGAAUUCACGUCUUCAUGUUCUUGUUGUUGAGGAUAUAAUACUGAAAUUGAUGGGUUGCAAUGAUCUGUCCAGUACAUCUAGUGUCCUGACCAACCUUGAGUCUGCACCUUGGUUGAUUUCAAUUGAGGUACUUAUAUUUAAAAACAUGGAACAUAAGCUUCACAUAAAGCUUAGUGACAAACUAUUCGAAGUAAAGUUGGAGAAGGAUAAUUUUAUAGAAGUUUGUGGUCCUCAUACAACUUUUGGUCUCCCACAUGCUUUGGGUUUAUACAUUUGUUAUUAGGUUGAUACUAGGCAAGUUUUUUGGGCUUGCCUUGAAAGGGUAAAGUCUAUUGCUAUGAAAUUAGGGGAUUGGGACGAAAAUGAAUAAACAGUGAUUGAAACUGAAGGUGUUGAAGUUUCUGAACCAAGGGAUAAACCUAGUGAGGAUGUAUGUCUCACGGAAAAGUGCAGUGAUGGGACUGAUAGUAUCAUAGUUGAGGCAUGGGAGAAUACCACCAAAAUUGUUUCUAUUGAAGCCACAAUAGAGCAGUCAGAAAAUACAAAGAAAGAGCGAAAUAUAGAUGUGGAGGAAUUGUCCAAGUUCCUUACACCUUUACAAAAUCAAAAUAUGGUUGAAAUGAAGGUUAUCAUGUCUAAUAUAAAAAUUAAAAUACCAGGUAGUGGCAUGCUGGAGAUUACAAUUUUCAGAAAAAUGGGAAGGGGAAUUCUUCAACUAACUGUUGCAAUAUCAUUAUGUUUUUAUUCUGGAGGUUCUAACAGGUUCAUAGUAAAAUAUGUAGUUGUUUUACAUGGCUAUAGAUUUCAUGAUAGAGAAAUUCUGGAUGGAAAAAUGUUCUGUGUGGGUGGGGAGUUUAGGAAGAAAAUUCGGCUUGUCCCUGAAAAUUUGACAAUUGCAUUGCCCCUAAUGAAUACAACAAACAUUGGUGAUGUGGGAAGCUUAACAAGUAGAUUCUUAUUAGCUAGUGUAGUUCUGGCGCAGGAAACUAUUAUUAUUGAAGGUUGUGGAACUUCUGUAAUGUGGGCUCCUAGUCUAAUUUUGUUGCAUAAUUCCAUGGUCUCGAGGGUUACUGUGUAUAUUUUGCUGUGCCUAUCCCAAAAUUGUAAGGCAAUGCUGAUUGUAAACAUGGAUCACAAGGCUGCGUUAUAUGACCAAAUUGUUUGAUGCAACAUAAUGUCGCAAAGACAAGGAGAGUUCAUGUGAUGCAUAAUUUCUUACCAUUGUUGUUUGAUGGUAAGUUAUAGCGUUAUUGAACAGCCAUAUAGAUUCGGAUUGAAGCAUAGUUGUUAUUUUAAAAAGGCAAAAUGCUCUUCUGGACCCUUGUACUAUGUCGGUUUUGUAAGUUGGACACUUCUACUUACAUGUUUGUCAUCUGGACCCCUGAAUGCACUAAAAAACAAUAUUUUAAAUCCUUUUUUGGUGAGUGUAACACACUCUCCCCACGUCAGCUGCCACGUCACUUGCCAUAUCUACCACGUCAGGUAUCACGUCAUCUUUAUAUAUAAAAAAUAUUAAAUAUUAAAAUAAAUAAAUAAAUAUACAAACAAACAAACCCCCCUUAUCUCUUUUACCCUUUUUCUUUCUUUUCCAGUUCUUCUAUCUCUUCCCCUUUCCAGUUCUUUUUCUUAUUCUUCUUCCUCCUUUUCUCAUUCUUCUUUUCCUUUAUCAUCUUCAUCUUCUUAUGCUCUACGAAAAAAAAUUAAAAAGUAGGGGGUGAAAAAUUUAAGAAGUAUGGAAAGAAGAGAUUUUUGGAGAUUUUUGUGAUUUGGGUGAUUCUAGAAACUUGAAAUUCAAUGUAAAGACUCAAUUUUUAGGCUUUCUUUAGACUCUCUAUGAUUUGGGUAAUUCAAGAAAGUUUGAAAUUCUUGAAAUUCAAUGUAAAAAGUCAAUUUUUGUGGAUAUUUUGUGAUUUGGGUAAUUCAAGAAAGUUGAGAAUUUUUUAAAUUCAAAGUAAAGAUUCAAAUUUUUAAAAUUUUUUAAAUUGUGAUAGGAAGGUCUGGAAGACGCGAAUUACGGCAGAAGAGUAGGGCCAGAUUGGGUCGCUAGUGUAGGAAAUUAUUUGGAGGGGGUUUUUAUUUUUUGAUUCCUGUUAUGAUUCCGUAUUCAGUGUUCCAUGAUUAUUACGAAUCUGUGUGCUUUCCUCUGCUUUCCUAUGUUUUAUAUCCCUUAUGGGUGCCGUAUUUAUGUUAUGUCAUCUGCUUCUGUGCUUCACUAUGUGUUUGUGUGAUAUCUUGUGCCUUGAGCCGGGGGUCUUUCGGAAACAGCCUUUCUACUUCAUCAAAGGUAGAGGUAUGGACUGCGUACAUCUUACCCCCCCAGACCCCACUAAGUGGGAAUACACUGGGUUUGUUGUUGUUGUUGUUGUUUGAUCCUGGUGGAACCCUCCUAAAAUAUCAUGUCGAAGCUACUAUUUUUUAUGCAUCUAGUUUGAGCUAUAAGGACCUUAUUAAGUUCGGAUUUAUGUUGUUAUAUGCUAGUGCUCAAAACCAGUCACUAAGUUGUGUCACGAUGAGGGAAUUUGAGAUAUCAUGUCAGUUAAAGAAAUUGACUGGAUCAAAUAUUGCUGCAAUCUGCGAGGGAGUCAGAAAAUGCAUUUUAGUGCUACUCAAGCAGGUUACUAACACCUUUCCACAGCUUAUAAUGACUAUUGAGAAGCAUUAUUAUGGAGGUAAAGCUGAUACUGGAGGAAAGAAAACAAAAGUUGUAGGCAUGAAUACUAGUGUUGUCCUAAAAAUUGAUGUUGAGUUUUGGAGGGAGCGCAAAAGGGAUUUAAUUAGGAAUGCUAGAGCUUUGGGAAGAUCAAGAAUUGCUUACGAUAGGUCUAAGAGAAUAUUCUACUGCUCAAACCACUACUGAAGUGGAUUCCUUAUUUAAGGGAAUAUAAUCUUAUGCCAUUAUUACUCGAGCUCGAUUUGAGGAGUUAUGCAUGAGCAUGUUGUUUAAGAGUAUGGAACCUAUGGGGAAGUUCUUGAAUGAGGACAAGGUAGAUAAUGUUCACAUGUAGGAAAUGGUUUUCAUUAGCAGAUCAUCUAGACUCCCAAUAAUUCAACAUCUCUUGAAGGAUUACAUCGAUGAGUAGAAGCUCUACGCGAGUAUAAAUCUGGAUAUUGAUACGACUUGUGGUGCAGCAGUUCUAGACACAAUUCUGAUUGGUAAUGGAGAAGAAAAUGUUCAAGAAUUGCUAGUGGUUGAUUUCACCCUAUUAGAGCUUGAUGUUGAGACUGUUGGUAGGACGAUUAUUGUAUUGAUUUCCAGAAGUGCUACAAUUUCAGCCAAAGAAGAGCAAAUUUUCCCAACCUACUCAGAUCAUCAACUUGAAAAUAAUCCAAUUGAAGAGCUCAUUCGUUUGAAUUACUGUAAUUGGCAUUGGCAAUUUUGUGGGUGUUCAGUUCUCCCUGUUACCGACUAGUAAGAACCAACCGUUAUCACGGUCGAAUGCAUCAUCCUUGUCCUUGAGGACAAGGUCAAUUUCAAGCAGGAAGAAUUAUAAUGACCCAAAGUUGCUAUGUCUGCAUGCGCCAAUUGAAUAAUCGUGAAAAACAGAAUUGGGGUCAGCAGAUAUUUUACAAGGAACGGUGGAGAUAAUAAUAAUAAAACAACGGUGGAGAUUAGCCCAAUUAUUAAAAAAGCCAGCUCAGCACCAACUCAAUCAAUUCUAUAAAUAGCCUUAACAGAAAUUGGGAUAGGCAGUUAUAAAUUUGAACGGAAUUCUCCUUGUCUAAUCUUCUAGAACCUUCUUCUUUCUCUUCUACUCUAUCUUCUCCGUCAUUACUUCAUUCUAAGAUUUACUACAUGUAUCCAUGGUGGAAGUUGCAGAUUCAUAGUGAAGUAUAGCUUAGUAUUUUCUUAUUCAUUGAUUGUAAUCGUAGAUUAUUAUCAAUAAACACCGUUCCAUUAUAAAUUCGAAUUCACAAUUCCAACUGAGUUAGUUACAUUACACCCUUCAAAUCAGAAGAUAUUGCGGAUACUACGUGUUGGUAGGUAGCCUUAUCAAUUUCACCGUCCAUUUAUUGUCCCAUUCAAAUCAGAAGUUAUUGCGGAGACAACAACGUGCUGGUAGGUAGUCUUAUCAAUUUCACCAUCCAUAUAUUGUUACCUUCACAUCAGAAGAUAUUUCGGAGACUAGAACGUGCCGGUAGGCAGCCAAAAAGAAGAGUUCCAACUUCUUGGAAGUCAGAAAAUUGGAAGGCAG
rnacentral:lncRNA from 1 species